CAAUAGCGUAUAUUAAAGUUGUUGCAGUUAAAAAGCUCGUAGUUGGAUUUGUGGCGUACGGUGUGUUCCGGGCACUUGUUGUCUGAGUAACCUGCUGUUGCCAUCCUUGGGUGGAACCUGUGUGGCAUUAGGUUGUCGUGCAGGGGAUGCCCAUCAUUUACUGUGAAAAAAUUAGAGUGUUCAAAGCAGGCUUAUGUCGUUGAAUAUAUUAGCAUGGAAUAAUGAGAUAGGACUUUUUUGCUAUUUUGUUGGUUUGCGCAAAGAGGUAAUGGUUAAUAGGGACAGUUGGGGGUAUUCGUAUUCCAUUGUCAGAGGUGAAAUUCUUGGAUUUUUGGAAGACGAACUACUGCGAAAGCAUUUACCAAGGAUGUUUUCAUUAA
rnacentral:rRNA from 1 species